rnacentral:tRNA from 2 species
GCCUUAAUAGCUCAGUCGGUAGAGCACUUCAUUCGUAAUGAAGGGGUCGCGGGUUCGAGUCCCGCUCAAGGCU